UACGUAGGGUGCGAGCGUUAAUCGGAAUUACUGGGCGUAAAGCGUGCGCAGGCGGCGCGUUAAGACAGGUGUGAAAGCCCCGAGCUUAACUUGGGAAUUGCGCUUGUGACUGGCGAGCUGGAGUGUGGCAGAGGGAGGUGGAAUUCCACGUGUAGCAGUGAAAUGCGUAGAGAUGUGGAGGAACACCGAUGGCGAAGGCAGCCUCCUGGGCCAGCACUGACGCUCAUGCACGAAAGCGUGGGGAGCAAACAGG
rnacentral:rRNA from 2 species